GGCGUCACGCAAGUGGGCCGAGGGUCGACUCCGGUGACGCAGGGGCGGUGCGCCCCGGGGAGUGGCCG
rfam:Rhodococcus equi ATCC 33707 chromosome, whole genome shotgun sequence.